AACGAACGCUGGCGGCAUGCCUAACACAUGCAAGUCGAACGAGACCUCCGGGUCUAGUGGCGCACGGGUGCGUAACGCGUGGGAACCUGCACUUAGGUUCGGAAUAAUUCCCCGAAAGGGGUGCUAAUACCGGAUAAUGUACUCGGACCACAGAUGUAUCGCCCUUGGAUGGGCCCGCGUUGCAUUAGCUAUUUGGUAGGGUAAAAGCCUAUCACGGCGAGGAUCGAUAGCUGGUCUGAGAGGAAGGGCAGCGACUCUGGGACUGGGACACAGCCCAGACUCCUGCGGAAUGGGGCAGAGGGUGAUAUAGGACUAUGGGCGAAGGCCUGAACCCGCAAGGCCGGGUAAGUGAUGAAGGCCGUAGAGAUAUAAAGCAGUUUUACCCGGGGUGAUAAUGACGGUACCGGAAGAAUAAGCACCGGCUAACUCCGUG
rnacentral:rRNA from 1 species